CUUUACCGUAUGCAUUUCUGCCUCAUUAUGCAAAUGAGGAGGGCUGCCUUCUUGCUCCAGCUCCUCUGCUAUUGGUCAACAAACAAGAAGGAGCAGGAUCCAUGUGCAGAUCGAUUGUGCAUGCCUGGGUCUUUGACUUCUGUUUUAACAACCAACGUAUUGUUAUGGAGGGAGCGGAAAGACGGUCUGUGUCGGACUUGUUAAGGGAAGCUGCAAAUAGAUUGGAUGAGUUGGAACGCGCAUCUGCCGGUUCAACUCCACAAGCACAAGGCCCCACCAUAACGCCAAGGAUCAACACAAUGUCAACAACACCUGGAGUGUCAAAUGUUGCAGGACGACAUCCUGUUGAUGUUGAGGUGUCAAGACUGUUUACAAGCAGAUCAAGUAGAAGGCAUCAAAGACGCAGCAAUGCAACUGUCAGCCUCGCCACAUAUACACACAUUUUUUUGUUGCCUUGGGCGAAAAGAUUCAACAGUUGUUCCGAGGCGACCAGAGAAGGAAUGUCUCCAAAGGGCAGGACUAGGUGAGCGGCGCAUAUGUUUCCGAGGUGACUUUCACAGCUGUGAGGAAUUAACAGAUUGUCUUUAUCAAAACUUUCCAAAGUUGAGGACUGCAGGGGGCUAUGAGUUGCUCAAAAGCUCUGGUAACACAAGGAGCCGCCAGCUCUCUGUUAUACAGUGCCCAAAUGAAGGGUACAGUGUGCAAUAUCUGAAGGAACCAAGCACUAUGAUUCACCACUCUAUAAUUUACAUCCGCCCUCUACAGUGCCAUCUCAGCUUGGAGCCGG